UCUCCGUAGGUGAACCUGCGGAGGGAUCAUUAGAGAAUAUAGCGCCUACCUGCUAAGUGCGUGACCUCCUCUUUCAACUCUGUGGAUUUUUUGGCGAGCGGACGAGACGAAGCCCGGCAAGUUGCAGCCGCUCGCCUCUGCCCGCCCAUUUUACCCACUAGUUAAAGUAUGUAACGAAAUAUCGACGCAAAAAAAACUAUAAACAACGGCUACCUUGCCUCUCGCAUCGAUGACGAACGAAGACGCUCGAAAGAGCAAGAGCAUAAACCCGAAUC
rnacentral:misc_RNA from 1 species